rnacentral:rRNA from 1 species
GCUGCGGCAUGCCUUACACAUGCAAGUCGAACGGCAGCACGGGAGCAAUCCUGGUGGCGAGUGGCGAACGGGUGAGUAAUAUAUCGGAACGUGCCCAGUCGUGGGGGAUAACGUAGCGAAAGCUACGCUAAUACCGCAUACGAUCUAUGGAUGAAANCGGGGGAUCGCAAGACCUCGCGCGAUUGGAGCGGCCGAUAUCAGAUUAGGUAGUUGGUGAGGUAAAGGCUCACCAAGCCGACGAUCUGUAGCUGGUCUGAGAGGACGACCAGCCACACUGGGACUGAGACACGGCCCAGACUCCUACGGGAGGCAGCAGUGGGGAAUUUUGGACAAUGGGCGCAAGCCUGAUCCAGCAAUGCCGCGUGCAGGAUGAAGGCCUUCGGGUUGUAAACUGCUUUUGUACGGAACGAAACGGUGAGCUCUAAUACAGUUUGCUAAUGACGGUACCGUAAGAAUAAGCACCGGCUAACUACGUG